rnacentral:sRNA from 1 species
UUGCAGCCCGACCUGAGUGGAAAUCCUUUUUUGCUGCUGGAAAAACGAAGGCAAAAAAGAUUGGGAACGGAGGGCGGAAUAGCU